CAGGAGAAAAAUAACAGCUGUC
rnacentral:misc_RNA from 1 species